GCCACUGCGUGGUGGUGGUGAGGAGUCUGAAAUGUGUGGCUGUGUGGAGCUGUGAGGCGUAACGAGGCGAAAGAGAAGACUGUAUGACUGUUAGAGAAGUAAAUACAUCGUCUUCGUAGCCAAGGAGUGAUAAAAGGGCUGAUGAAAGAUGCAGAAGCACUUUCUCGGCUCUCCCCUCUAACAAAUAGAAGAUGGUGCAAUCCAAAAUGCUGGUCUGGAAGCCCCGCCCCCAACUGGGCCUUACGUGGUGGCGGGGUCUUCAAGGUUGGGGUCGUCAUCUAAAGGUUCCGCCCGUCGGGGAAGGUGUUUGCGCUCUGAGACACACUCCGCAGGACACUUGCUCUUAGAAUCCAGCUGCCAUGUUGUUAGGAAUCUCAAGCAGGCGGAGGAAGGGGCCACGUCAGGAGGAAACAAGGUCUUAAGCCCUCAGUUCCAGCAGAGCUCCUGGAAGACAGCUUGCACCAGUGCACCAUCUUGAAAGCAGACUCUGAUGUUCUUCAGGUGAUACAGAGUGAAGCAGAGUACUGUCACGGCCUUCUCCAAAUUGCAGGUUUGUGAGCAAAGUAAUAAUUGUUGUUUUAAGCUACCAGGUUUUGGGGGAUGAUUUGUUAUGCAGCAGUAAAUAACUGGAACAACAACAACAAAAAGAAAACCCAAGCAGCUGCGAGUUGUCUCUUGGUAUCCACAGGGAAUACAGUUCAGGACAUCCCAUGGAUACUGAAAGCCUCGGAUGCUCAAGUCGCUUACAUGAAAUGGUGUUGUAUGCAUAUAAUCUAUGCACACCCUCCCGUAUACUUUAAAUCAUCUGUAGAUUACUUAUAAUAUCUAACACAGUGUGUGUGCUAUGUAAAUAGUUGUUGAAGCAUGGCAAAAUCAAGUUUUGCUUUGUGGAACUUUCUGGAAUUUUUUUUCAAAUACUUUUGAUCCAAGGUUGGUUCAUCCCAUGGAUAUGGAACCCAUGGAUACGGAACCCAUGGAUACAGAUGGCUGACAGUAAUCAGAAAGUGGCACAGCUGUUGUCUAGUCCCAGAAAGAGCUUUUUGCACUGAGUCAGGCCUACCCUCAUAUCCGAAUCCUGUUUCUCUUCCUAAAUAGUGUAGUGCAGAAGAAUUGAAGCCUUGGAGUCAAGCAGACAUGAGUUCAUAAUCCUGGUUCCCAUACUUCCUGGUUGUGUAACCUUGGGCAAUUUCAUGGGCCUCUCUGACCUCAGUCUCCUCUUCUACAAAAUAGGAGCAAUAAUAAUUUUUCUUCCCAAAUCUAUCAGGAGGGUUUAGUGACAUUAUGUAUCUUAAGUACUUAGCCAAGAACAUAGCACAUAACAAGCACUCAACAACUAUUAGCCAUGAUUCACCAGGACUAUUUAUUAUACGGCUGGAUGUUGAGAGGCACUUGCUAGAUAGACUCUUGAAGGUAGAUUAGGAGCCUUCUGAAUGAAUUCCACCAUGCUUCCUCUAUGCUGAAUUUCUCUGCCUAGACUCUGAGAGAUCUGGGUUAAAUAACUCAUGGUCCUUCCAGUUUCUGGCUGUGUGACCUGGGGCAAGAGGCUUAACCUCUCUGGUUUUCAGAUCCUCAUCUCCUGAAAGGGAGGAGGACAUAUUCCCUCCUUCAGGGGUUGCAGUGAAGACAGAUAGUGUGGAAGGCAUAAUAUAAUGCCUGGCACACAGUAGGCAUCCAUAGUGUGUGCUGAGAGAGGGAGGGGAUAUUCUCCUACCCUCUGCAGAAUCUCCAGGGAUCUCUGUCCUGGCUCUGCCCUCUGCCUCAAGCCUGACCAGGUGAGUGGUGGUGGUGAGCCAUCCAGAGAGGGAGGGAGGUCUCCUAGCAGGGCCAGCCCUGUUGUUCUCCCAUUCCCCACCAGCGGGCGCUCUGAUAAAGUUAAGAUUACAGCUCACCGCCAUCACCCUGAGUGCAGCUCUACCACCAUUUGUGCAGAUCUGACUGUGCACCGGGCUGAGAGCCUUGGUUCAUUUAAAUCAGACAGGAUUCUGAGUGUCUUUGUUAAAAAUAAGGAAUCUAGCAGAAUUAUAGGCUUUUAUUUCCUUUAUGUUUGUGGGAGAAAAGUGCCAACGAUCCUCUUCUGAUUGAGAGAGAACCUGCAAGUAUUUAUUCCUUUUAAUAAUAGAGAUGAUGUUAUCGCCAUGGCAACAAAUGAUCAAGGACAACAACCAAUCAAAAUUGCAGGCUUCUCUGGGAGGUUAUUUUUCUCAAGAUAUGGCAACAAUUUCUAGGAGACUCUCAAAGACUCUUUUGUUCAAGUUAUUCCUCAAGGACAGUCUUAAAUGAACAGACCAGGUUGGCGACAGGAACUUAAGCCUCCAGAUUGCAUGGGAAAACCAGAUGGGUAUUUUUGGGAACAUUCUCUGUUUCUUUAUGGGGCAGAUUCUUUAGAUGGGCUUUAUGAUGCAAAACAGUAUCUCUCUGUGUAGCUGCAGGGAAGAGAGAACAUCUUCACCUCUUUUUUACAUUUUAAACAUUUUAUUAAAAAUUAAAAAUCACUUUUUCACACUCCCUUUGUUAAGAGUUGGGGACUUGCAUUUUAAAGAGCUGGCUCUGAACCUCCUUGGUCAGUAUCACAGGCAAAAAGCAGGCCUGGGGAGCUCAAUUUUACUGGCAGAACUUUGAGCAAUUUCUCUCAACAGUGUAUAGACAUCUACGCAGUCAUUCCUCAGUGUCCUCACAGUUUUCCAGAGGAGCUGUACUCAGCGUGGCCACAGGCAGAGAAGCCACAGAAUGUAAGUUCUGGAGCCAGGCUGCUUGGGUGUGAAUCCCAAGCUGUGGCUGGGCAAGUUACUUAACGUCUCUGUGCCUCAGUUUGCUCAUCUGUAAAAUGGGCAUAAAAUAGUACCGACUUGUGAUGAUUGCAAAACAUGUUCACAGAUUCUUUACAGCCCUCUUCUGAGAAGGUGGAGUCCAAUAUUCUUAUCCUCUUGACAAUGGGUUGGCCCUGUUGGCUUACUUCUCACAAAUAGCAUGCAGCAGAUAUGAUGCUGAGUGACUUUUGAGGCUGUGUUAGACAAGGUGACACAGCCACUGCCUGAGUCUCUCUCUCUCUCGGGACUUGUGCCCUUGGAGCCCUGAGCCACCAUGCUGUCAUGGGGACAGAAAAGAAGACAGGUAGCCUCUGGCACCAGACAUGUGGAUUAAGCAAGCUUCAAGAUGAUCCCAGACCCAGCCACCAUCUGUCUGCAACCUCACAGGAGACCCUGUGAAAGAUAAUAAAUGCUUGGUGUUGUUUUCAA